CGCGGGUGAAAGGUCGAGCGUCAGCCGGCCCCGCCCCCUGGCGCGCGGGCGUGCGGAACCCGCAGAGUUCUUUGCGUUUCGGAAGCUCUUGGUGUGGCUGGCUGCGACCCGAGAGAAGAAGCUGGGCUGGUGGGGCUGCUGCCGCCGUCACAGGAAAUAAGUAACCAUGGUGCUCAACAGUUUGGAUAAGAUGAUUCAUCUCCAGAAAAACACUGCCAACAUCAGGAAUAUUUGUGUUUUGGCUCACGUUGACCAUGGAAAAACUACUCUGACUGACUGUCUUAUAUCUAGCAAUGGAAUCAUCUCCAGCCGCCUAGCAGGCAAGUUAAGGUACAUGGACAGCAGAGAAGAUGAACAGAUCCGAGGGAUCACUAUGAAAUCCAGUGCCAUUUCACUACAUUAUGCAACAGGUAAUGAGGAGUACCUGAUUAAUCUGAUAGACUCUCCAGGACACGUGGACUUUUCCUCAGAAGUAUCAACCGCUGUUCGCAUUUGUGAUGGAUGCAUCAUUGUGGUAGAUGCUGUGGAAGGAGUCUGUCCACAGACACAAGCAGUUCUGCGACAAGCUUGGCUUGAAAACAUCCGUCCAGUUUUAGUGAUUAAUAAGAUAGAUCGCUUGAUAGUGGAACUGAAAUUCACCCCACAAGAGGCCUAUUCUCACCUCAAGAAUAUUUUAGAACAGAUUAACGCACUCACAGGAACUCUUUUUACUUCUAAAGUCCUAGAAGAAAGAGCAGAGAGAGAGACUGAAUCCCAAGUGAAUCCACAUUCUGAACAAGGAGAGCAAGUAUAUGACUGGAGCACUGGCUUGGAGGACACAGAUGAUUCUCAGCUUUACUUCUCUCCAGAACAGGGAAAUGUGGUGUUUACCAGUGCAAUAGAUGGGUGGGGCUUUGGAAUUGAGCACUUCGCCAGAAUCUACAGUCAAAAAAUUGGCAUCAAAAAGGAAGUUCUUAUGAAAACCUUGUGGGGAGAUUACUGUAUAAAUAUGAAGGCUAAAAAGAUCAUGAAGGGUGAUCAGGCCAAAGGAAAGAAACCUUUAUUUGUACAGUUGAUCCUGGAAAAUAUAUGGAGUUUGUAUGAUGCUGUCUUGAAAAAGGACAAAGACAAAAUUGAUAAAAUAGUGACUUCUUUAGGAUUAAAAAUUGGAGCCCGGGAGGCACGACAUUCAGACCCUAAAGUUCAGAUCAACGCCAUUUGCAGUCAGUGGCUACCCAUAUCCCAUGCUGUUCUUGCGAUGGUGUGUCAGAAACUUCCUAGUCCCCUUGAUAUUACAGCCGAGAGAGUGGAGAGACUGAUGUGCACAGGAUCACAAACCUUUGACUCUCUUCCACCAGAAACUCAAGCACUGAAAGCAGCCAUUUUGCUCAGCCAGUACGAUGAGAGACCAGCGACUUCCUGUACACAUGCUCCUCGUGAGAAAAGAAGCUCCCAUUCUGGACUUUCUUUUAUGAAAUGUGGAAGUGAGGAGACUGCUCCAGUUAUCAUAUUUGUUUCCAAAAUGUUUGCAGUUGAUGCUAAGGCCUUGCCUCAGAAUAAGCCAAGGCCUCUCACUCAAGAAGAAAUUGCUCAGAGACAUGAGCGUGCAAGACAAAGGCAUGCAGAGAAGCUUGCAGCAGCACAGGGACAGGCACCCUUGGAGCCCACCCAAGAUGGCAGUGCCCUUGAAACAUGUCCAGAAGGAGAGGAGCCAAGAGGUGAUGAGCAACAGGUGGAAAGUAUGACCCCUAAACCUGUGCUCCAGGAAGAAGACAACCAAGAGUCUUUUAUUGCAUUUGCUCGAGUGUUCAGUGGUGUGGCUCAAAGAGGAAAGAAAAUUUUCAUCUUGGGGCCCAAAUACAGUCCUCUUGAGUUUUUACAAAGGGUACCAUUAGGCUUCUCAGCUCCACCAGAUGGCCUCCCCCCAGUCCCCCACAUGGCAUACUGUGCUCUGGAAAACCUGUAUCUUCUGAUGGGAAGAGAACUGGAAUAUCUAGAGGAGGUACCUCCAGGAAACGUGCUAGGAAUAGGAGGCCUUCAAGAUUUUGUGCUGAAAUCUGCAACACUGUGUAGCCUGCCCUCCUGCCCACCAUUUAUACCACUCAACUUCGAAGCCACUCCCAUUGUGAGAGUUGCUGUUGAACCGAAACAUCCAAGUGAAAUGCCUCAGCUCGUAAAAGGAAUGAAACUGUUAAACCAGGCUGAUCCCUGUGUCCAGAUUUUAAUUCAGGAAACAGGAGAGCACGUUUUAGUCACAGCAGGAGAAGUCCACCUUCAGCGAUGCCUGGAUGACUUAAAAGAAAGGUUUGCAAAGAUUCAUAUCAGUGUAUCUGAACCUAUUAUUCCAUUCAGAGAAACAAUCACAAAACCCCCAAAAGUUGACAUGGUCAAUGAAGAAAUAGGCAAACAGCAAAAAGUUGCAGUCAUACACCAAAUGAAAGAAGAUCAAAACAAAAUCCCUGAAGGAAUCCAAGUUGACUCUGUUGGGCUAAUCACCAUAACAACUCCCAAUAAACUUGCCACGCUCAGUGUUCGAGCCAUGCCCCUUCCAGAAGAAGUCACCCAGAUUCUGGAAGAAAAUAGUGAUUUGAUUCGUUCUAUGGAGCAGUUGACAUCCUCUUUGAAUGAGGGUGAAAAUACUCAGGUGAUUCAUCAGAAGAUCCAAGAGAAAAUUUGGGAAUUCAAAGGAAAACUAGAGCAACACCUAACAGGGAGAAGAUGGAGGAACAUUGUUGACCAAAUCUGGUCAUUUGGCCCAAGAAAAUGUGGGCCCAACAUACUAGUCAAUAAAAGUGAAGAUUUUCAGAACUCAAUAUGGACAGGUCCAGCAGCCAAAGCUUCAAAAGAAGCUAGUAGAUACCGAGAUUUGGGCAAUAGCAUUGUGAGUGGCUUCCAACUGGCAACCCUCUCUGGCCCCAUGUGUGAGGAGCCUCUCAUGGGUGUCUGUUUUAUUCUGGAAAAAUGGGACCUAAGUAAAUUUGAGGAGCAAGGAGCAAGUGAUCUGGCAAAAGAGGGACAGGAGGAAAAUGAAACCUGUUCUAGUGGAAAUGAAAACCAAGAGCUACAAGAUGGCUGCUCUGAGGCCUUUGAGAAGAGGACAUCCCAUAAAGGAGAAUCUCCACUCACUGACUGCUAUGGACCUAUCUCAGGACAGCUAAUUGCCACCAUGAAAGAAGCAUGUCGCUAUGCACUGCAAGUGAAACCUCAGCGCCUCAUGGCAGCCAUGUACACAUGUGACAUCAUGGCCACCAGUGAUGUUCUCGGUAAGGAAGAAAAGGUCGAGUCUAUGCUGUCUUGUCAAAGAGAGAAGGUCGAGUACUUCAAGAAGAAAUGAAAGAAGGAACAGACAUGUUCAUCAUCAAGGCUGUGCUGCCUGUUGCUGAAAGCUUUGGUUUUGCUGAUGAAAUCAGGAAGAGGACAAGUGGCCUGGCCAGCCCGCAACUGGUAUUCAGCCAUUGGGAGAUCAUUCCCAGUGACCCCUUCUGGGUGCCAACUACUGAGGAGGAGUACUUGCACUUUGGGGAGAAGGCUGACUCUGAGAACCAGGCCCGGAAGUACAUGAAUGCGGUACGAAAGCGGAAGGGGCUCUAUGUGGAAGAAAAGAUUGUGGAGCAUGCAGAAAAGCAGAGGACACUCAGCAAAAAUAAGUAACUAUCUACUGUUGGUGGAUUCUUUUCCUUAUAGUGAAUUAAAAAGUAUCAUCAAGGGUUUAAUAUUGGGAAAAUUUCUUUUUGCCACAUUAUCUCUGUUUAUUCACUUUCAAUAAAGUUGAUCCAUAUAAAUAUUUUAAAGAGGA